AAAAAAAAAUUUGAAAAAAAUGAAAUGAUCAUAUAUGUAGCAAAGAGUGGCCGGCCAUGUGGUGUUUUAGAGGGGUGUGAACCCAAAUUUUAUAAAAUUUAAAUGCCAUUUAAUUAAGAGGUCAAGUGGGCAAGUGGGUAGAAAAGCACUCAAGUACCUUGUGAUAUUUUGAAGAGUAUUGUGAGCAAUUCCCACACUAAGAACCGAUCACUCUCCAUCUCUCAUUCACUAUCAUCUUUUUUGAAGACCUCUCAAAGUGUUCUCUCCAUUUUUCAAGCCCAAGAACACCAAGGAAACUUUGAGGCUAAGUCUUGGUCUAGGAAGUAUUUUCCCUAAGUUUGUUAGGGUUUUUGAAAGGUUUUGAAGGAGUCAAAGCUUAUAGGAAGGUCCAAACCUUAAGCAAGAACACCAAAGAGGUAAGGGCAAGGGCAAGGCAGAGCAGUGAGCGCUGGAGUCUUCCUUGCAAAUGUACAUGUGGACCGACCUUUUGGGAAGCCUUUUUAUUUUUGGAAAUGUUGUGUAAUUUUCCUAAACUAGGCUCACUCUAAUCUUUAUAAAACAUGUUUGUAACUAAAUGUUAAGUAUGGCCAUACGACUUUUUAAAAAGUUUUUUUUCUAUGGGUUUUUGAGACAUUUUGUUAAAUGAAAACAUUUAUAUUUCCGCAUUAUC